ensembl:ncRNA C42D8.13 ncRNA
ACUUGAGAAACUCAUGUGUGCAAUCGAGUCGCGUGUUCAACUUCACCUCCCCAUGGGACUAACCGACGGGAGGUCCUUACUCAAAUUUACGCCUUGUUGGGAGAGAAAAAGAAGCACGCGGGGAAUGUGUAU